AGGGGUUUCGCCUAGUGGACGAUGGCAUUGGUCUCCAAAACCAACAGUGGUAACACUCACGUGGGUUCGAAUCCUACAACCCCUGCCA
rnacentral:tRNA from 1 species